rnacentral:rRNA from 1 species
UACGAAGGGGGCAAGCGUUGUUCGGAAUUACUGGGCAUAAAGGGUGCGUAGGUGGCUUGUUAAGUCAGGGGUGAAAGUUUUCGGCCCAACCGGAAAAUGGCCUUUGAUACUGGCGAGCUCGAGUGCGUGAGGGGUAACCGGAACGAGCAGUGUAGCGGUGAAAUGCGUAGAUAUUGCUCGGAAGGCCAACGGCGAAGGCAGGUUACUGGUGCGCAACUGACACUGAGGCACGAAAGCGUGGGGAGCAAACAGG